GAGUUUGAUCAUGGCUCAGGAUGAACGCUGACGGCGCGCCUAACACAUGCAAGUCGAACGGCACCCCUCUCCGGAGGGAAGCGAGUGGCGAACGGCUGAGUAACACGUGGAGAACCUGCCCCCUCCCCCGGGAUAGCCGCCCGAAAGGACGGGUAAUACCGGAUACCCCGGGGUGCCGCAUGGCGCCCCGGCUAAAGCCCCGACGGGAGGGGAUGGCUCCGCGGCCCAUCAGGUAGACGGCGGGGUGACGGCCCACCGUGCCGACAACGGGUAGCCGGGUUGAGAGACCGACCGGCCAGAUUGGGACUGAGACACGGCCCAGACUCCUACGGGAGGCAGCAGUGGGGAAUCUUGCGCAAUGGGGGGAACCCUGACGCAGCGACGCCGCGUGCGGGACGGAGGCCUUCGGGUCGUAAACCGCUUUCAGCAGGGAAGAGUCAAGACUGUACCUGCAGAAGAAGCCCCGGCUAACUACGUGCCAGCCGCCGCAGUAAG
rnacentral:rRNA from 1 species